rnacentral:rRNA from 4 species
UCUGACGGAGCAACGCCGCGUGAGUGAUGAAGGUUUUCGGAUCGUAAAGCUCUGUUGUUAGGGAAGAACAAGUGCGAGAGUAACUGCUCGCACCUUGACGGUACCUAACCAGAAAGCCACGGCUAACUACGUGCCAGCAGCCGCGGUAAUACGUAGGUGGCAAGCGUUGUCCGGAAUUAUUGGGCGUAAAGGGCUCGCAGGCGGUUUCUUAAGUCUGAUGUGAAAGCCCCCGGCUCAACCGGGGAGGGUCAUUGGAAACUGGGAAACUUGAGUGCAGAAGAGGAGAGUGGAAUUCCACGUGUAGCGGUGAAAUGCGUAGAGAUGUGGAGGAACACCAGUGGCGAAGGCGACUCUCUGGUCUGUAACUGACGCUG